CAUCACUGUCAGUGUCAAACACCAAAUCUUUUCCCUCGCCCUGCGUUACAUUUGAACCCUACAUUUUCUCUCUCCGACACCAAAUCUUCUUCAAUCUCUCUUGAUCCAGCCUACAUUACUCACAAUACAAAGCAAGAUUUCAUCGGCUCAGUUUGCCAAUCUCUGGUUUUCAAGCCCUCUGACGAUGGAGGUGUCUUCGAAGGCUUCGUUGAGAAGAUCGGCUCCAUCAUUCGCAAAUCGGGAAUCGGACUCUUCUCGAAGCCUCUAGUCCCUGCACUUCCACUGAUUGCCAAGUCUGAUGCGAUCAAAGUCAAGAAAGACGACGCCCGACGAUCUGGUGGAGAAAAGGUGAAUUGAUCGGUUGCGGCGCAUUUGGAAGGGUUUAUAUGGGACUCAAUAUCGAUUCUGGAGCUCUUCUAGCCAUCAAGUAGGUUUCAAUUGCAGGCAACAGUGCUUCAAAAGAAAAAAACACAGGCCCACAUUAGAGAGCUUGAAGAAGAAGUGAACCUUCUUGAGAAUCUUUCACAUCCAAACAUUGUUAGAUACUUGGGAACAACUAGAGAGGAGGCAUCGUUGAAUAUUUUGUUGGAAAUUGUCCCUGGUGGAUCUAUCUCUUCACUUCUGGGAAAAUUUGGUUCAUUCCCCAAGUCUGUGUAGGUUACAUGCCACCUCCAAGGACAUAGCUUGGGAGGUUUAGCGGUUGAAGACUCCAUUUUGUACAUUUUGUUUGGUGUUAAAUGUGAAUCCAAGCCAAGGGCUUUAUAUGUAAAGAGUUAGAACUCUUCUUUUGUUGUAACCAAGUGUUAACUUGGAAAGCUGUAAGCCCUUUGGGCACUUAUUUUUGUUGUUUAGAAGUUAGAGUUACAUGCUACAGUUUCAAGAUUAAUGCUUAUGAAAAUGUAAUGCAUGUAAUGUCUUUGUAAAGGAAACUCUGAUGAUUGAAGAGAUGGUAUUUCUCCUAUGUU